CUUUUUUUUUUUCACUUAUUCUCUCUCUCGUCUCUUUCGCAAGUCUCUUUUUUUUUCUUUUGAUGGGUUGUAUUUCUUCCUCGGAAGAUCCUGAGCCAAGUCCUCUCAUUCAACAGAAUGAAAGGAAAAAACUCAUAGAACCAAAUCAAUCAAGGUUGUUGAAGAUCCUUCUUACUGGAAACAGCGGAACAGGAAAAAGCUGCCUCCUUCUUCGUUACACUGGCGCUCCUUUUCAAGAAAAAUUCGUUUGCACUUUAGGAGUUGAUUUCAAGAUCAAAACAGUGGAAUUAGGCAAUGAGUUGUACAAAUUACAGAUUUGGGAUACCGCAGGACAAGAGAAAUUUCGAUCCC
rnacentral:ribozyme from 13 species